rnacentral:rRNA from 1 species
GACGAACGCUGGCGGCGUGCUUAACACAUGCAAGUCGAACGGAAAGGCCCCGCCUUUGUGGGGUGCUCGAGUGGCGAACGGGUGAGUAACACGUGAGUAACCUGCCCUUGACUUUGGGAUAACCUCAGGAAACUGGGGCUAAUACCGGAUAGGAGCUCCCGCUGCAUGGUGGGGGUUGGAAAGUUUCGGCGGUUGGGGAUGGACUCGCGGCCUAUCAGCUUGUUGGUGGGGUAGUGGCUUACCAAGGCUGUGACGGGUAGCCGGCCUGAGAGGGUGACCGGCCACAUUGGGACUGAGAUACGGCCCAGACUCCUACGGGAGGCAGCAGUGGGGAAUAUUGCACAAUGGGCGGAAGCCUGAUGCAGCAACGCCGCGUGGGGGAUGACGGCCUUCGGGUUGUAAACCGCUUUCGCCUGCGACGAAGCGUGAGUGACGGUAAUGGGUAAAGAAGCACCGGCUAACUACGUG